AGGACGAACGCUGGCGGCGUGCGUAACACAUGCAAGUCGAACGAGUGUAGCAAUACACGAGUGGCGGACGGGUGAGGAACACGUGGCUACCAACCUGGCACUGGGGAAUACCCGUGAGAAAUCAUGGUUAAUACCGCAUACGCCCGCAAGGGGAAAGUCGCAAGACGGUGCGAGACGGGGCUGCGCCCGAUUAGCUAGUUGGUGGGGUAAUGGCCUACCAAGGCGUCGAUCGGUAACUGGUCUGAGAGGAUGGCCAGUCACAUUGGGAUUGAGAACGGCCCAAAUCCCUACGGGGGAGCAGCAGUGAGGAAUCUUCCACAAUGGGCGCAA
rnacentral:rRNA from 1 species